AGACCGAUAGCAAACAAGUACCGUGAGGGAAGAUUGAAAAGAACUUUGAAGAGAGAGUUCAAGAGUACGUGAAACUGUGUGGUGGUAAACGGAGGGGCUCUCGAAGUUUCUGAGGGGAACUCAACCUUGGUGUCGCUGGGCCUGGGCGUAUUUGAUCCGCAAGGACUUUGCGCUUAGUCCCCAGUGCCUCCCGGACGCACUUUCUCCUCAGUUUACGGCAGGAACCGUUAGGAGUGGACCAAAGGCCCGGGGUGAAGUUGUCGGUUAUGCUGGCAGCCCCUGGUGUCCUGGCUUUGCACCUGACGGGUAUGUGAGCGGACUCGUAUAGCGAGCAAUUCUCUAUUGCGGUUCGCAUCUCUCUGCCGAGUAGGUCGGUGGCCUCUCCGACCCGUCUUGAAACACGGAC
rnacentral:rRNA from 1 species